rnacentral:lncRNA from 1 species
GAGAUAAUACUUAUAAAAUGUACCAUGUCUGAGAUGUAGUAGGCACUUAAUAAACUCUUGUUUUCUCCCUACUAAAGGUCUUCUGUGGAUGACACAUGAUUUAUUGGGCAUGUUGUAGAGGAGAUGCUUAAUUAGAUAUGGAUUAAAUUUGGUGGUCAAGAAGAUCCUUUCCAGCUCUGAAACUGUGAUUCUCUUGUGUAUCUUUUUCAUAAAAAGAAUGUGGCCAGUGGAAGAGCAAAGUCUUGAUAGUCAGGGGACCUAUGUUCAAAUCCUGUCUCGUAUUCUCAGAAUGACCUUGGGAAGAGCACUUAUUCCUCUGAGUGACAGUUUCUUCCUUCAUAAAAUGAAGACGCUGGAUCUCAUGGGCUCUCUUCUAGUUUUAUUCCAAGAGCACAAAACAGAACAUAAAUGAGGAAGUGUCUUACUUGGACAUGAAACUGACAUUGAGGCUUGAAGGGAGGUAGAGAGUCCAAGAAGCAGAGAUGAAGAAGGAUGCCAUUCCAAGCAUGGGGGACAACUUAUGCAAUGUCAGGAAGGUGACAUGGAAAUCUGCAUGUGGAACAUUGUGUAGGAGAAAAAACUUUAUCAUCACACUAGUAACCAAGAAGGUCUUGAGAAGCAACAGGUUGAGAAACUACUUUGGAAAGAAACUUGAAGUAAACUCAUGGGAGUUCAAUUCUCUUCCAAUCAGAUAA